rnacentral:rRNA from 1 species
AUUGAACGCUGGCGGCAGGCCUAACACAUGCAAGUCGAGCGGAGUGGCGGACGGGUGAGUAUUGCCUAGGUAUCUGCCUGGGAGUGGGGGAUACCGUCCGGUAAUGGGCUCUAUUACCGCCUACUAUCCGAUUACCCUUGGUCGGAUUCGCUAGAUGGUGGGGUAAAGGCCUACCAAGGGGACGAUCCCUAGCUGGCCUGGGAGGAUGACCAGCCACACGGGAACUGAGGAACGGACCAGACGCCUACGGGAGGGGGCAGGGGGGAAUAUUGCAGAAUGGGCGCAAGCCUGAUGCAGCCAUGCCGCGUGUGUGAAGAAGGCCUUCGGGUUGUAAAGUACUUUCGGCGGGGAGGCGUUACCCGUAGAAGAAGCACCGGCUAACUCCGUGCCAGCAGCCGCGGUAAUAC